rnacentral:rRNA from 1 species
AUGGAGGUUCCGGAAGAUCGUAGAGUUCCUUUGGCCGCAUACAAGCUGAAAGGAGGAGCCGGUGCAUGGUGGCAUCACGUUCAAGAGGAGCGCAGGCUGACAGUAGAACCUCGUGUUAGAACUUGGCGACAAAUGAAAGGCCUCUUGAAAGGGAGAUUUUUGCCCGCUGAUUAUGACCAGAUCCUAUUUAUCCAAUUUCAAAAUUGUGCUCAAGGAAAUAGGAUUGUUUCAGAUUACACGGAGGAGUUUCUAAGGCUACAAGUGAGGUGCAACCUUGCUGAAACUAAAGAGCAACAAGUUGCAAGGUACAUCAAUGGUCUCAAUGAUGCUAUUCAAGAUCGAUUGAUGAUGCAACAAAUCUGGUCCGUUGAUCAAGCACAAGCUCUAGCCUUAAAGGCCGAGAGGUUUGUGAGGAUGAUAAAGACAACUAAGGCUCCAUAUCCUCAUACCGAAGGCUCAUCUAGGAACCAACCUAAUAGAGUGGAAGAAGAGACCACUCCACCAAAGACAAAACAGCCCAUCCCAAAGCAAAUUAGAGGCAAGGGUAAGGCAAAUGAAGGCCCAAAGUGCUAUAAAUGUGGUAAAGAGGGACACAUAUCCAGCGGUUGCCCACUAAGGAAAUUUUUUAACAUGACUAUCCAUGAUGGUGAAAGCGAUGAGGAAGAAUAUGAAUCUGAAGAUGUUGACGGACAAGCGGUUUGUCAAGAAGAAAGUGAAGAGGUGGUAUGUGUGAUCCAGCGUGUCCUAUGUUGCACACCACAACUUGAUGACACACAAUGGAAGAAAAUAUUUGAGAGCAAAUGCACGGUGAAUGGCAAGGUAUGCAAACUAGUGAUUUAUAGUUGCAGCUGCGAGAAUCUUAUCUCCCAGAAGUUGGUGGACCAUUUAAAGCUUGAAACCCAUGAUCAUCCAAAUCCCUACACUAUUGGAUGGAUCAAGAAAGGAGUGAAUAUGAGGAUCACCAAACAAUGCAACCUGCCAAUUUAUUUGGGUAAGCAUUAUCGCUCAGAUGUGUUAUGUGAUGUGGUUGACAUGGAUGCCAGCCAUGUUCUUCCUGGGAGGCCUUGGCAAUUUGAUGUGGAUACUACACACAAAGGCAAGGAAAAUUCUUACUCUUUCAUUUGGUACAAGAGAAAGAUCAUUAUCCUACCAAACAAAACCGAAGGUAAUACCUCUAAGGAGGAGGGGAAAACUAUGUUAACUAUCUCCCAUACCUCUCAUGAGUUAAUGGAAGACUUGAAGGAGGCAGAUUUGUGUGCUGCACUUAUUGUAAAGGUAGAAGAGCACCUGACUGUUGAAAUUCUAGCAAAGGUACGUGGUUUAUUGGCAGAAUUUCAGAACAUACUUGGGGAGCCACAUGGCUUGCCACCGAUGAGAGGGAUUCAACAUAGAAUUGACUUAAUUCCGGGAGCAAGUCUUCCUAGUCUUCCACACUAUCGAAUGAGCCCAAAUGAGCAUGAUAUAUUGAAGGAGAAAGUGGAGGAAUUGCUGCAAAAGGGGCACAUUCGAGAAAGUAUUAGCCCAUGUUUUAUACCAUCCCUGCUCGCACCUAAGAAAGAUGGAUCUUCACGCAUGUGUAUGGACAGUAGAGUUGUUAACAAGAACACCGUAAGGUAUAUAUUCCCUAUUCCCCAUCUGGAUGAUAUGUUGGAUCAGCUUAGUGGAGCAACAGUGCUCCCAAAGCUAGAUUUGAGAAGUGGAUUAUCAUAA